AAUCGGGCCCUGUGCUAUUGUCAAUUACCCAACCCCGUCAGGAUCGGAAGGUAGCAGCGGUAAGUAAUCUGAUGAUGAGACGCAAUCGGCUUGAAAGGA
rnacentral:SRP_RNA from 1 species